AGCUCCGCUAGCGUAUACUAACGUUGUUGCAGUUAAAAAGCUCGUAGUUGGAUUUCUGUGGUGGGUAGUCGGCCGGCUCUUCGGAGUUGUAGCUAGAUUUACUUGCCGCAUCUUGUCGUAAUUCUCGCUGGUCUUAAUUGAUUGGUGCAGAGGACCGACUCGUUUACUUUGAGAAAAUUAGAGUGUUCAAAGCGGGCUAUCGCCUUGAAUAUGUUAGCAUGGAAUAAUGAUAUAGGACUUUGGUUCUAUUUUGUUGGUUGUUCGAGGACCGAAGUAAUGAUUGAUAGGGACAGUUGGGGGUAUCAGUAUUCUGAAGCGAGAGGUGAAAUUCUUGGACCUUCGGAAGACUAACAACUGCGAAAGCAUUUACCUAGGAUGUUCUCU
rnacentral:rRNA from 1 species